GCAGACCUUUUCGAAUUUGAAAGUGAAACAAUUUAAGGGUUUAACUACUGCAAGGGUAACUUUGUGGAAAAAAAACCUGAUGCUAGAAGU
rnacentral:rRNA from 1 species